GCUCUGAUUGCUGUUGCUGCUACCGCUGUCAUCUGCCUGUGCUGCAUCAGAGCAGGCCCCUCCCCGUCAGCCGCUCACUGCCCAACCGCACAAGGUCUGCAUGUAGGAAAGUGAAAAAUGAGACUGCAGAAGUCAGGCUCUGGAGUGGGACAUGAAGCCUGCUGUGACAAGAAUGCCUGAAAAGAGACUAACAGAGAAUCUGCAAAUAAGCACAUGGUGUGAAAUACAAAAAUGUCACUUGGAGAUGCUGGAAAAUCCAAAGAAAUGAGGCUAGAAAACACAGAUUAGAAAGUGGCCUGAAAACAAAACACAAUUCAGAGCAGGGAUACAGGCCAUGAUAGAUCUCACUGAGACUUUGAAAACAUGGUUGUGUGCAUAUUUGUGCAAGAAAGGAAUUAGGAAAAGAGGGAAGGAAUCCCAUGAGAACAACAGUCAAACCAAUUCUAAGGGUCACAUACAUCCCCCCCUGCACAGCAAUGGACAAAAACACACAUUUAAGCAGUAUCCUGUUGAGGCACUUGUGUGGUCAAGACACUGGAAAAGGAAAGCACUUUCUAGAACAGCUUCCAAACACCAUCAUUGUGAAAGGAUUAAGCUGAUAAGACACAGAAAUCCUAGAAACAUGGAGCUUGAAGAAUUUCAAAAGGAAAAUAAAGGAAAUCAAGAGGAAAGAUGGCAAAGCAGGUACAAGGAAACAAACUUUCUGCCCAAGCUCAAGAGAGGAAACAGAGGAAAUUCUUUUAAACUCUAUGACCUGUUAUAAAAUAUUAGAAGCUGCCUAAGAAUUUGUGUCCUGGGUUCAGUUUAAACCAUGACAAGUUGUAACACCUCUAAAACAUUCUUGAGACUUAAGCAAGUAAUUAAAAAUCAAAUCAAAUUA